rnacentral:rRNA from 1 species
ACUCCUACGGGAGGCAGCAGUGGGGAAUUUUGGACAAUGGGCGAAAGCCUGAUCCAGCAAUGCCGCGUGUGUGAAGAAGGCCUUCGGGUUGUAAAGCACUUUUGUCCGGAAAGAAAUCCGCCUGGCUAAUACCCGGGCGGGAUGACGGUACCGGAAGAAUAAGCACCGGCUAACUACGUGCCAGCAGCCGCGGUAAUACGUAGGGUGCGAGCGUUAAUCGGAAUUACUGGGCGUAAAGCGUGCGCAGGCGGUUAUGCAAGACAGGUGUGAAAUCCCCGGGCUCAACCUGGGAACUGCACUUGUGACUGCAUGACUAGAGUGCGUCAGAGGGAGGUGGAAUUCCGCGUGUAGCAGUGAAAUGCGUAGAGAUGCGGAGGAACACCGAUGGCGAAGGCAGCCUCCUGGGAUGACACUGACGCUCAUGCACGAAAGCGUGGGGAGCAAACAGGAUUAGAUACCCUGGUAGUC